UUGAUAAGGAUUUCCCUAAUUUGGAAAUCAAAUGGUGGUGAGACCACAGCAGCAAACAGCUCUACUUCAUCUUCUGCAACGACCACUCCCCUCUUUCACUUGCUUCAUGGAGAUAAUUGUCUAAAGAAUUUGAACAAGUUUCUGGGGCAAUAUGGUCAUAGGAUAAAUCACUUGGAUAGUUUCAAGAUUUGGGAAGUUGACGCAGCUAAGAAUGAAUUGGAAACACAGAAUGAAAGGAGGUGUACGUAUCUGGGCAUAUUCAGAACCAUAUGAAAAAGUGCAACCAGUCAACAGCUAAGAAUGAUGCCAGGCUGAAAUUGUUGGGAAAUGGUCCAAGACUCUUGCAUCCCUAGAUUUGAUAGUGUUUUAGAAGGAUGAUUUGGUCCAACGAUACUAUAGAGUAUUGAAAAGCUUGGAAUAUGACAACAGACAAGAGUUGGUUAUUCCCCAAAGAGAGUCAGUACUGCAAUUUUGUUGCCACAAAUGAGAAUGGUUUAGUGAGUCUAUCAGUUAUUGGAUUCUGAUAAACAGGAACUUUGAAUUUGAAUACAUGAAAUGGAAAUUCACCACAACUACAAAAAGAUAAACCGGUUGGAAAGGACGAAGACUGUAGCUUGGUGUUAGCAACGAUAUUACUUCCUAGCUUCAGUUAGAGCUUAAGUUCAGGGUGACUGGUUAUUGGACUUUUCAACCUCCCUCUGUGAAACAUAAGCUUAUUGAAUAUGUUCAUCUUAAUGUAGUUGUUUCAAUAACAAAACAGGCUUAUUGUCUCUUUUUUUUUUUUUCUUUUUUUUUUUUUUUAAAUGCUUUUGAAAUUGUAACUCUUUUACCUAUAUGCAUAACAGUAUUUUAAUGCAUCCAAUUGAACUUCGUUACAAGAACUAUCAUGAGAAAUAUUUUAUAGGGAUUAAGCAUCUAGCAAAUGACGAUUAUCUGAAGAAUUGGAAUCUUUUGUGGAAAUAUGAUGAUUGGAUGUACCGCUUGGAUACUAAAAGAAUUUGAGAAGCCGAUAUAGUUAUUGAGGUUGGAGAUGGAAUAUUUAAGAUAUGUUCUACCUUGGGUGACACUUAUCCAAGAAGCAAUGGUUUUGACAAGGUUGGAACAAGAGAAACUGAUCUUUUGAAAGACAAGCAAGCUCUGGUCUUACAGAGAUUGCUGAGAAGGCAUAGAUGAAGUUGUCAUCUCUAACUUUGACUAAUAUUAGUUUAUCUUUCAUUACAACUGCUACGGAUGGCCUAAAACACAUUGACACCACACCGGUGGGUCAAACUUUUAGAAUUGUGUUCAGAUUUGCUAGACAGGCUUUUAUCACCUUUUGAAACUACCUUGAGAGAUACAAAGCUUUCCUUCAAAGAUAUAUAUAUGAAGUAAUCUUGUUGAUGGUUCAACUCGCAUCCCAGCCAUUUAGGAGCACGAGGAAAUGACUAGAAAAGAGCCAAAUGUGGCUGUAAAUCCUUAUGAAGUUGUUGCUCUUGGGGCUAUAGUUCAGGACUUGAAACUUUAGGUGGUGUGAUGGUAGAUUAUCUGAAGGAACCCAACCUUACCAAUUUCAGGGUUGUUUUCUUUUCCACUGCAGCAGAUGAAUAUAAACGAGUAUCAAGGUGAGAGAGUUUGUGAGGGACAACAUAUCUUGGAGUUGGCAUCUCACAUGUGUCACUUGGAGUUCCUCAAAUUUUGGUGAAAUUUGGUAUUGAUGCCGAUGGUAUUCUUUCAGUCACUGCAAUUGACAAGGGAAUUGGAAAGAAGCAGGAUAUCUCCAUAACUAGUACUAGCACCUUGCCAAGUGAAAAGGUGGAUAGGAUGGUUAAUGAAGCUGAAAAUUUUGCAAAGGGAAGACAAGGAAAUGAGGGAUGCCAUAGACACAAAGAACCAUGCUAACUCAGUUUUGUACCAUACUAGAAGCAACUAAAAGAGCUGGGAGAUAAUAUUCCUAGCUAGACAAGGAGAAUGUAGAGGCUAAAGUGAAUUCACCCAAGCCAUUAAAGAUGCAAUGGAUCUACCCAAGCCAUUAAAGAUGCAAUGGCUGUCCUGAAUCAAGAAAUUAUGUAACUGUGGUGGUCAAUGUUGAUAUGAAUUAGAAUUGGAUUGUCUAUUAGCUUUUUCGGAUUGACUUCUUUGCAUGGAUGACAACUAUUGUUUAGCCUUGAAUUAUGUUAGAGUUGAGAGAGAACUCUUUGAGAUAGAGUUAUUUGGGUGUAUUGGGGUUUGGGUUUGUGAGUGGUCCUACACCACCUUUGUACUCUCCAUAUUUGUUAGUGAAACUUUCUCCUUGUCGCCUCCCGUGGAUGUAGGCCAAAGGCCGAACCACGUAAA